AUUGCAGUACAUUGCGGGUCGCACGCGGUUCGUUGUAAAUAAAUAUUUUUGGAAGCGAUCGAUUUCCGAAAUCCAUUCUGUUCCCUCGCGCUGUCGCCGCGGCCGCGCGUCGGCUCACUGU